rnacentral:rRNA from 1 species
GGCCCGCGGUCCCAUUAGCUAGUUGGUGAGGUACAAGCUCACCAGGCGACGAUGGGUAGCCGGCUGAGGAGGGUGGACGGCCACACUGGGACUGAGACACSGGCCCAGACUCCUACGGGAGGCAGCAGUAGGGAAUAUUGCGCAAUGGACGGAAGUCUGACGCAGCGACGCCGCGUGAGCGAUGAAGGCCUUUCGGGUCGUAAAGCUCUGUCCUUGGGGAAGAAGGUCUUCGGACUUGACGGUACCCAAGAAGAAAGCCCCGGCUAACUACGUGCCAGCAGCCGCGGUAAUACGUAGGGGGCGAGCGUUGUCCGGAAUUACUGGGCGUAAAGGGUGCGUAGGCGGCCCUUUAAGUCAGAUGUGAAAGCCCGCAGCUUAACUGCGGAAUUGCAUUUGAAACUGGAGGGCUUGAGUGUCGGAGAGGGUAGUGGAAUUCCCAGUGUAGCGGUGAAAUGCGUAGAUAUUGGGAGGAACACCAGUGGCGAAGGCGACUGCCUGGACGAUAACUGACGCUGAGGCACGAAAGCUAGGGGAGCAAACAGGAUUAGAUACCCUGGUAGUCCUAGCCGUAAACGAUGGGUACUAGGUGUAGGUGGUUUCGAUACCAUCUGUGCCGUAGUUAACGCAUUAAGUACCCCGCCUGGGGAGUACGUGCGCAAGCAUGAAACUCAAAGGAAUUGACGG